rnacentral:lncRNA from 1 species
GAAUAGUUUCAUUGCCUUUAUCUGAGAAUGAUGAUGAUGAUGAUUUGAUGUUGAAUCCUAAGUAUCAUAAUGUGGAGUUCUUGAUUACUACUGGACCUGGUCCUGUUCCUCAGCUUGAUAGUAAGAAUAUUGUUGAUUAGAAAUACAGAGACAAUUGAAUCUAAAGCUUUUAUUUUGGAACACAAUAGGGGUGGAAUAGUUUCAUUGCCUUUAUCUGAGAAUGAUGAUGAUGAUGAUUUGAAGUUGAAUCCUAAGUAUCAUAAUGUGGAGUUCUUGAUUACUACUGGACCUGGUCCUGUUCCUCAGCUUGAUAGUAAGAAUAUUGUUUUUGGAACUGUUCUUGAAGGUGAGUCCUCAAAUCUAUAAAUUUAUCUCUUUUAGUUGAGUUGAGUUAACUUAUAUACGUGACGAUAUAAAGAAUGUUUACUUAUUUGUCCAUUUAAACUUGUUGUAGGAGGUAACAUGCCUUAUAUCCCAGCUAAUAAUAAUCUCAAUAUUUAUGAUCAGCUAGUGUUGUUAUCUUUUAGGUGAUCUCAUAGUAUAAAAGAAAUUUUACGUUGUGGGUGUAUAGAAGUUGAACACUUUAGCUAAUCUCACUAUAGUUUACCGGAUGAACUAAGGUCGGAAGACUUAUUUUUCUUUUAGUUGGCAUAUAUGCAUGUUUAGUGUAAAGGGGAGCUUUGGCGUAACCGAUAAAAUUGCCGCCAUGUGACCAGUUUGCCACAGAUUCGAGCCAGGCUGUACUUUAUAUGCAUGUUUAGUGUAAAAGGGUUGUGCUUUGUAUGCAUGUUUAGUGUGAAAGUAUGUUGUGA